GAUGAAGAACGCAGCGAAAUGCGAUAAGUAAUGUGAAUUGCAGAAUUCCGUGAAUCAUCGAAUCUUUGAACGCACAUUGCGCCCCCUGGUAUUCCGGGGGGCAUGCCUGUCCGAGCGUCAUUGCAACCCUCAAGCGCGGCUUGUGUGUUGGGCUUCGUCCCCCCGUGGACGUGCCCGAAAGGCAGUGGCGGCGUCCCGAAUGGUGCCCGAGCGUAUGGGAACUCUCUUCCGCUCGAACCGGCCCAUUCGGCGCUGGUCGAACCCCAUUUUUUUUUUACCGGUUGACCUCGGAUCAGGUAGGGAUACCCGCUGAACUUAAGCAUAUCAAUAAGCGGAGGA
rnacentral:misc_RNA from 1 species